rnacentral:lncRNA from 1 species
CCAGGGGGUCCGCCCCAAAUCCCGGCGGGGUUCCCCUGAGACCAGGGAGCCGCAGCCCCCGCAGAACGUCGGGGUGCUGGGGGUGCGCUGCCUGCGCCCACUGUGGGUUUUUUUUUUGGGAUCAAUAAAGCCUGUGGGGUCCCUGGGUGUGAGCUGGUGUUUUUUUGGCGUGCUGCUGGGGUGUGGGUUGGGGUGGAGAGCUUUUUGGGGUGUUUUGGGGUGGAUGGAAGGCCGUUUCAGGGUGAUCUUUUUUGAGGGGAAAAGGUGGUUUUGGGGGUAUUUUAAGGUGGAUGAGAGGCCUUUGGGGUGCUGGGGGGUGCUUUUUGGGGUAUGGGGCUUUUGGGGAUACUUUAGGGUGGAUAAAGGGCUUUUUUGGCAUGCUGUGUGCAGGGUACUUUUUGGGGUGGGGGGCUUUUUGGGGCAGUUUAUGGUGGGUGGGGGCCUUUUUGGGGUAUUACGUGCAGGGCUACUUCAAGGCCAAGAAGCAGGUGUAGCCCACCCCAAAACCCGGGGGGGACACCCCAAAGCCCAGGGGGGACACCCCAAAUCCUGGGGGGGUUCCCCUGAGACCAGGGAGCCACGGCCCCGCAGCUCCCGCAGAACGCCAGGGGGCUGGGGGCACGCUGCCUGCACCCACUGCGGGGUUUUUGGGUUUUUUUUUGGGAUCAAUAAAGGCUGUGGGGUCCCUGGGCAUGAGCUGGUGGUUAUUGGGGUGUUGGAGGUAGGGUGGAUUGAGUGGGGGGGCUUUUGGGGUUUCUUUAGGGUGGAUGAAGGGCCUUUUUGGGGUGCUUUUUGGGGGAGGGGGUGUUUUUUGGGGUGUUUUACUGUGGAUGAGGGGCCUUUAGGGUCCUUUGUGCAGGGUGCUUUUUGGGGUUGGGAGGCUUUUUGGGGUAGUUUCUGGUGGAUGGGGCCUUUUUGGGGUGCUCUGUGCAGGGCUACAUCUUUGAGGCCAAAAAGCUAGUGCAGCACCCCCGGGGGGCCACCCCAAACCCUGGGGGGGUUCCUCCCCAAAUCUGGGGGGCCGCAGCCCCACAGAACACCAGGGCACUGGAGGGGGUUUGGGGCACGCUGCCUGCACCCACUGUGGGGUUUUGAGGGGGACAUUUUGGG